rnacentral:rRNA from 1 species
AGCGGUACGCGAGCUGGGUUCAGAACGUCGUGAGACAGUUCGGUCCCUAUCCGUCGUGGGCGUAGGAAAUUUGAGAGGAGCUGUCCUUAGUACGAGAGGACCGGGAUGGACAUACCUCUGGUGUACCAGUUGUCGUGCCAACGGCAUAGCUGGGUAGCUAUGUAUGGACGGGAUAAGUGCUGAAAGCAUCUAAGCAUGAAGCCCCCCUCAAGAUGAGAUUUCCCAACUUCGGUUAUAAGAUCCCUCAGAGAUGAUGAGGUUAAUAGGUUCGAGGUGGAAGCGUAGCGAUACGUGGAGCUGACGAAUACUAAUCGAUCGAAGACUUAAUCAAUUU